AAUGUAAAAUAUUCUAAGGACCAUUCGCUAAAAGGAACGAUCGUUGUGAUAUGCGUUUAUCCCUCGUUACAUAUCACAGUGAUUUUCCUUUAUAACGCAUGCAGUUGUCCAAAAUGCAUCAAA
rnacentral:pre_miRNA from 15 species